rnacentral:rRNA from 1 species
UACGGAGGGUGCAAGCGUUAUCCGGAUUCACUGGGUUUAAAGGGUGCGUAGGCGGGUUGGAAAGUCAGUGGUGAAAUCUCGGAGCUUAACUUGGAAACUGCCAUUGAUACUAUUAAUCUUGAAUAUUGUGGAGGUAAGCGGAAUAUGUCAUGUAGCGGUGAAAUGCUUAGAGAUAACAUAGAACACCAAUUGCGAAGGCAGCUGGCUACACAUAUAUUGACGCUGAGGCACGAAAGCGUGGGGAUCAAACAGG